UAUAAUAUAAUGAAUUUCCAAUUUUUUAAUAAUAUAAGUCUAUUACUUUUUUCUUAAUAUAUUGAUAUAAAUGUUUUCAAACAACAUUAUAUUCUUUUUUAAUAUUGUUAUUCAUUUAUCUAAACAAACAUAUUUUUUUAAUGUUAUUCAUGUUUCCAAAUAAAUCUCUUUUUUAAAACUACUAUUUAUGUUUCCAAACAAACUUAUUUUUUAAACUGUUAUCCAUGUUUCCAAACAAACAUAAUUUGUAUUUCAAUUUUAAUAAUAUAGAUUACUGCAAUAAAUAUUCUCUUAGUAACAAAUCAAACCAAACAAAAGAAGAAAAAAGAAAAAAACUAAAGUCUUUUUUUUUUGAACAACCGGAUUUAUAUUAAAAUUGAAAGGAAAAUGUGCGAAAAUAAAAGACAAUAAAGUUCAGGCCCAAAAAGAGCUAGCUCAGAGGAAAACAAGAAAAAACAGAGUGGGCCUUAAGGGCCCCUUUUGUUAAAACAUCUGCUAUGCUGUUUUGGGAACGAGAUACAUGCAGGAAGGAGAUGGAAGCAAAGCCAGCGGAGAGAUUCUUGAUGUCCUGGAGGAUCCUAUAGGUCUCUUUGAUUUGGCUUUUGGUUGAGAUUGCUCUGAUGAGCGUUGCGCAAUCGGAGUGGAACACGAUGGAGGGAAGUCCUAACCCUAGGGUUUCUAUGAUUCCUUGACGAAGGUCUAGUGAUUCAGCCAUGAGGGGAGAGGCUACGUUGUUGUUGAAGUGCCAGGCGAUGCCUACUCGAUUUGAGAGACCGUCCCACGCUGCGUCUACGAAACAGGAGGUGAUCGAGGGGAGAGUGGAGCUUUGCCGUUGACCUGAGAUCCUUGGGACCAUCAUAUCCACGGAAGUAUUGGUACUCUAAUGCCAGUAGGCGGGAGGCAGAGAGCACUUCUGAACUGGGUCUUGAAAUUCGAUGCUUCAGCUAGGUGAACUGAUGCAUUAAGCGGAGUGAGUCGCCACACCUCUUUGGCAAAGGGAUAUUGGAAGAACAGGUGGAUCGCAGACUCCUCCUUCUUACAGCGGGGGCAGACUGCAUAGUGCAGCAGAGUUCAUCCCCUCGGCAUUGGAACUCCACUCCUAAAGGUAAAGCUCCCUGUAUUAUUGACCGCAUGAAGAGUUUAAGUUUUGGUGCCGUCUUUGAAACUUUUCUUGUGGCAAUACUUUUCGGUAAGCACUAUAGCUAGUAAGCAACUUGGUGUAGACAGUAUUUUCCAUGCGGUUUUUGCCAGUAGUGCUUGAUUAAAAAGUUGUAUAUCUCUCAAGCCAGACAAAACUAAAGUCUCACAGUACUUUUUUAAGUGUUGAGCUCAUUUCUUUUCUUGACUCAUUUUUUGAGAUCGAAAGAUGUCAACUUUUUUCUUUAUU